rnacentral:rRNA from 1 species
UACGGAGGGUGCGAGCGUUGUCCGGAGUCACUGGGCGUAAAGGGCGCGUAGGCGGCCUGGUAAGUAGGGGGUGAAAUCCUGCGGCUUAACCGCAGGGCUGCCUUCUAAACUGUCAGGCUAGAGCACGGUAGGGGCAGAGGGAAUUUCCGGUGGAGCGGUGAAAUGCGUAGAGAUCGGAAAGAACACCAACGGCGAAAGCACUCUGCUGGGCCGACACUGACACUGAGAGACGAAAGCUAGGGGAGCGAAUGGG